rnacentral:rRNA from 1 species
AUACGGAGGGUGCAAGCGUUACUCGGAAUCACUGGGCGUAAAGCGCGCGCAGGCGGCUUGAUAAGUUGGAUGUGAAAGCCUACGGCUCAACCGUAGAACUGCAUCCAAAACUGUCAGUCUAGAGUGUGGGAGAGGAAGAUGGAAUUAGUUGUGUAGGGGUAAAAUCCGUAGAGAUAACUAGGAAUACCAAAAGCGAAGGCAAUCUUCUGGAACACUACUGACGCUGAGGCGCGAAGGCGUGGGGAGCAAACAGGAUUAGAAACCCUAGUAGUCC